AAUAAAUAUAGGAAGCCAAACCUAAAAUAACAAUUACUAGCGUCAAAUAAGUACUCAUUUAGUAUAAUAAGUAUAACUUUAAUAAGAUACUAAAGAGAAGGAAACCAAAGAAUACAUACCUGUGUUCUGAUAUUUUUGUUGUACUGAAUUGAUUUAGUGGAUUUAUUUUUCUUUGGGAAAUCUCACUGCACCCAUUGUUUAUCUUUUGUUUACAUUAGUUUUUUUUAUUUAACUUUAUUUUGUGGAACCCACUUUAAACGUGUUAAUACACUAGUUUUCAUUCACCCGGUCUUGUGUCUCUUAUUUCCACUGCUCCCAGAGUGAGCCUAUCUGGUCCAUAUUUUUCCCUUGUAUUUAGAGAGUAACUGUUAAAGUAAGCACCCCUAGUGGGGCGUUACAUAAUACUAACUCUUAUUUUCUGUAGCAGCUCUGACCCAUUUGGUUGAAACGGGCAUCUUAACACCGCCAGGAUUCGAUGCAGCACCCGGUACCGCAUCGCAACUGCAUUUAGGCCCUGUUUAACAAGCAGUCCUGGGGGCCUGCCACAGUGUGGAGAGAGUCAAAGUGCUGAUGAUGAGUCAGCUUCCCGUGGAAAACGUCCAAGAACAUGUCAAAUAGUACAAAUAACGGCUCGAUUUCACACAGGAAACGUCUUCAGUUUGAUGAUGGCUACAAAUCUGUGGAUUUGCAUACCAGUGACCGAGCUGCAUGUGGUGGUGGUGUGGAGCAGACAGGAGCGGCUUCGGAGUUUGAUGCUGUGGUCUGGACUGAAGCUUUUGAAUACGUGGGACCAGAAGAGUUUCACAGAAAAGCCGGAUGAUGCUGUGGAUACUGGACUAAUUAAUACAGGACAAAUCCAAUAUCAGAAGUGAGAGACAUGAUGGAGAGUAGUGCGAUAUGGCCAAAAAAUGAUCUCUCGAUAUUUUCUGUAAUUUUGUGGAUAACGAUAAUAGACGAU
ensembl:lncRNA